rnacentral:tRNA from 1 species
GUGGGCGUGGUGGAAUGGUAGACACUAGAGACUUAAAAUCUCUUGCAUUUAAAUGCGUGAGAGUUCGAAUCUCUCCGCCCACA